rnacentral:rRNA from 1 species
UACGGAGGGGGCUAGCGUUAUUCGGAAUUACUGGGCGUAAAGCGCACGUAGGCGGCUUUGUAAGUAAGAGGUGAAAGCCCGGAGCUCAACUCCGGAACUGCCUUUUAGACUGCAUCGCUUGAAUCCAGGAGGGGUGAGUGGAAUUCCGAGUGUAGAGGUGAAAUUCGUAGAUAUUCGGAAGAACACCAGUGGCGAAGGCGGCUCACUGGACUGGUAUUGACGCUGAGGUGCGAAAGCGUGGGGAGCAAACAGG